AGAAGUUUAGGAUAAGCACAGUCCAAGAGCCUUCAAAGCCCUCAGUAAACAUUUAAGUUUAACUUCUG
rnacentral:tRNA from 1 species